rnacentral:rRNA from 1 species
UACGUAGGGUGCAAGCGUUAAUCGGAAUUACUGGGCGUAAAGCGUGCGCAGGCGGUUUUGUAAGUCUGACGUGAAAUCCCCGGGCUCAACCUGGGAAUUGCGUUGGAGACUGCAAGGCUAGAAUCUGGCAGAGGGGGGUAGAAUUCCACGUGUAGCAGUGAAAUGCGUAGAGAUGUGGAGGAACACCGAUGGCGAAGGCAGCCCCCUGGGUCAAGAUUGACGCUCAUGCACGAAAGAGUGGGGAGCAAACAGG